GGACGCGUAGCUCAGCGGGAGAGCACACCCUUCACACGGGUGGGGUCACAGGUUCAAUCCCUGUCGCGUCUACCA
rnacentral:tRNA from 1 species